rnacentral:rRNA from 1 species
UUUAGUUUCGGCCUAAUAAAACCAGUAAUGGAAAAUUCAACUAUUUUUUUGAUGAUAGAUAUAUAUUAAUUUCAAAAAAUUUAUAUGGAAAUUAUAAAGUAGUAUAUCCAGUAAAAAGUUUUUAAAAAAGUUUUUAAUUGUUUAAGUUUUUUAGAGGAAAAUAAAGUGCCAGCAUCCGCGGUUAUACUUUUUCUGUUUAAUAUUAAGAAUUGAAAUAUUUAUUGCAAUAUAAAAAACACAGUUUAAAGUAUAUUUUUGUAGAUAAAGAAGGGUUAAGGAAUUAAAUUUGAUACUUAAGUACUACCUUUGUUAGUUUGGGAAUAACUUAAAUUUUUUGGCGGUAAAAAAGAAGUUUAGGGGAGCGUGUUGAGUAAAUGAUGAUCCACACAGAAAUUCACCUUUAUUUUGUUAGUGUAUGGCCGUAAAUAUAAGAAUUUUAGAUUUUUGUUUUAAAAUAUAAAAAACAGGUCUUUAUGCAGUUUGUAAAGGUUUUAAUUCGCUACUUUAAUAUAUUUUUAUAUAAUGUAAUUAUAAAUGGUAUAGGACUUAAAAUUAAAUUUUUUUUGGAAAAUUGAAAUAUUAAUUUUUUAUGCACAUAUCGCCCGUCAGUCUGUUUUACAGAAAAGUC